rnacentral:misc_RNA from 1 species
GGCGUACGUUUCGUACGCC